GCAUGGAGGGGGAAGGAGGAUCGCUCUGUACCAGCCGCAGUGAGGUGUCUGAAGGAGGUCAGGAGUCACUGCUUCAGACCACUUCCACCUUCUGAGAUGGAGAUCAAAUGACUCAACUGCUGAGACAACCACCUGACUUUCCACCUGCGAGGGAGAGCAGGAGACUUCUGCCUAGCAACACCCGUGAGGCAGCGCGUCUGGACCCUUAUGCUUCUGGCACUGAUGACUGCCCUGGAGAGCAGAGGAGGGAGAUGAGUGGCUGCAAAAACUCGGCUCCCGCUCCCCUGCUACAGCUCCCGCUCCCCUGUUAUAGUUCAGAGUCCCCUGCUAGAGCCCCCGGUCCCCUGCCACAGCUCCCGGUCCCCUGCUACAGGCCAGGCGUGGCAGGUAUGAAGGGUAUAAACCACCUAC